UUAUCUGCAGUGUCAACCCUAGAGGUUGUAUGAUUAUGAAGAGAGACAUCCAGCGGUUGAUGGAUGAAGGCUUAAUCCAGAUUGUUCAAUCCCGUCACAUAGAUGACGAUGUCAAUGUUAUAGUACCGGUUUUCAAGAAUCCUAAGAGAGUGGUUAUUCAGUAUGACAACAACAACAAUAAUAGUGUCAGCAAGAGAUCGGUAUCGUCGUUGGUUAUACGGUUGGCGGGUCCAGUCCCGUAUGCAUCCG
rnacentral:lncRNA from 1 species